AUGGGGAACAGAUGAUCCCUUCUUGGCCUCAAAAAAAAAGAAAAGUCGGUAUGCCUGCAGAAAAUUAAACAGAUCCUUUCCUGGCAAUUUAAAACUCAGAUGCCUCAGCCAGAGUCAGCUAGUGGUUCUUCUUUUUCUCUGUGGAGAGCUAAAAGUACACAAGUCCAACAAUUUCCAACUCCUGCACUGCGACAUGAAGCAAAAUAAGGCAUAUGGCUUUAGCCCUGGGUCUCAAGUUUAGCUGUAAUUCUCACUUUCAGACUGCUCCCACCAGCAAUUUUGGGUUCCUUUUAUCUUUUAUAGCUUUCUCAAUUGUGCUAAUAAAGUGUAAUUUUCUCACCCUGUUUCUACUUCUACCAUCUUGUAAAAUGACUUGGAGUUUCACAAAAUGGGAAUGUGGAACCACUCGUUACUUGGGUCAAGUCACUCAGCUAGUGGGUUUCUGUACUCCUUAAAGAAGAGAAGACCAUGUCCUGGUGAAGAGCUGUGAGUGAUCUCCUCUGCAAAGUGAAUCUGAAAAGUCUCUUUACCAAUCAUGAAACCCAAAUGAAGCAGCUCAGGAGAACUGAAGAUGGUUCUUGGUCAAGCAUCAGAAAGGAUUUUAAAGAGUCACCAAGAAAAGCAGUAGUUUGGCCUAAAAAAACUGGUCUCUACCUGUGGCACUACAGAGAAAGCGGUGGCAAGCAUCGCUGUAUGGGUUUUCUGUCAAGGGGAGACGCAGAGGGUUAGGUCUGUACCUCACUCUGAAGGAUCAUCACAGCGUGGUUAAAAUGGUGAUGCUCCAGGGUAGCGGACGUUCCGUAGAGUUGGGCCAGGGCAGAGCCGCUCCUGAAAGAGGACAGAAGGAUGAGCGACCAGAGCCCUCCACCUGCCAACAAUUCUCCCACACCAGUUCUUUGGAUCAGACUGCUUUUCCGGCUUUGGCAAAGGAACAUGAGCAUAUACAUUCUCAGGAAACUGGGUACUUCACUCAUCCAUGAAGUAAACUUUUCGAAAACCUAUGUGUUAGGCUAGAUCCUGUGGAUGAUGUGACAAUAAAUGAGACAGAGGCCAUUUUGCUAAGAAAUUAACAGGCUAGUAAGAAAGAUGAGAUGUGGUCAUAAGGGAAAAUAAUGCACAUAACACAAAUACCAUAGAAAGCGUUCCAGGUCCAAUCGAAGUGCUUUGGAUGAUCCGAGGACAAAAGAGAGAAUUUGUAACUCAGGAGAUCGGGGUGCACUUUAUGAACUAAACCGUAUGUAGCUUUUGAGUGUCCACAACAAGGAAUGGUUCUCUACACCAUGUAUUUGACUUUCCAGGGGAAAAGCCCGUGGGAAUAUUAAGCAGAGUCCAUUUAACCACUUUACAGAUUCACUUUCUUGUUUCUCUUAUCUACCUCCUGUCAUCAUGGCUUUCCCAAAAAGGCAGCCUACAGCUCCCACAUCUCUGCAGAUCCACAGCUUGGAUCUCAACAGAUAAAUGAGGGUAUUGAGGCACCACAUGACACUGUUAGAACAUAACAGAGGCGGAUUAGAGCUCAGGCAACCUGGAUCCCGAGUGUGUUCCCAUCCACUGUGCUAUGCAGCCACUAAGGAAGAGCAAAGAGGACAGCUCGGACUAUUUCAAGUGGUUUUGAAGAACAUGGUUUUUCGAGGAAGAACCCUUCUUGAAGAGUCUGCACACCAAAUCCCUAAUUUGUGUCAUGUCUCAACAGACCUACAGAUGACUUCAACUUGGAAGCGAUGGGAGCUUGGGGCUGAAAUGCAGCAUUUAAAGAAACAACAUUUAAUUUCUGGUUUUCUUGAUUUCUGGUGCGCAGAGUGUUGCAGGGUCACUGUCUGGGGUCUUUGUUCGGUACAGUAUUAAAAUCAAAUUUCCUUUAGCCAAAGAGCA